AGUAUUUGUUUACUCACUGGGAUUAUAUAAUCUCACCACCCUCCUUUCCACCCUUUUCAGACUCAGAAUAAGUUGUAGAUAGCGGAUUUCAUUGAGGCUACCAUUGGAUUUGCAUCCUUCAAACUGUAGGUUCACAGUCUUCCUUACUUUUGGUUAUUUGGGAGCCCACUGGUUAUUGUAAAUUAAACUAAAUACUCUGCCUUACUGUAUUAUAGUAUGUAUGAAUUUAUUUUACUUUUACACUGCA
rnacentral:lncRNA from 1 species